rnacentral:piRNA from 1 species
UACUCAUCCUUCAAAACCCAGCUCACGUGC